rnacentral:rRNA from 1 species
CGUCUAUAUACGUAUAGCAUAUCAAUAAGCGGAGGAAAAGAAACUAACAAGGAUUCCCUUAGUAACGGCGAGUGAAGCGGGAAGAGCUCAAAUUUGAAAUCUUCAAGGUUCUACCUUGACGAAUUGUAGUUUAUAGAAGUGUUUUCUGUUAGUAGAGUGGCAAAAGUUCUUUGGAAUAGGACAUCAUAGAGGGUGAGAAUCCCGUAUUUGGUCAUUCUUUCUAGCUUUGUGAUACACUUUCAACGAGUCGGAUUGUUUGGGAAUGCAGUCCAAAAUGGGUGGUAAAUUUCAUCUAAAGCUAAAUAUUGGCGAGAGACCGAUAGCGAACAAGUACCGUGAGGGAAAGAUGAAAAGAACUUUGAAAAGAGAGUUAAACAGUACGUGAAAUUGUCAAAAGGGAAGCGUUUGACACCAGUGUUGUUUAGUUGAAAAUCAAUUCAAUAGUUUUUGAUUCUAAGUAGUAUUGACUUCAUCAGCUUGCUGCUUUCUUCUCAGAAAUUAUUGAAUGCACUUUUCAGUUAACAAGUCAACAUCAAUUUCUUUUGUUGUAAAAGGGUAAAAGGAAGGUGGCUUGCGCUUCGGCUCAAGUGUUUAUAGCCUUUUAUCUCUGCAAUCGGAGAGAUUGAGGUCUGCAGCGUAGAUCCUUCGGGGUUAGAUACAUUGGUGCUAAGCUAUAGCCUUGUAUAGACAACUUGUUGACUAUGCUCAGUCAUGUAGCUUACUCGCUGAUGCUAUUUUACCUACGCUUAGGAUGUUGACGCGCGUGUGUGGUG